UACAGAGGGUGCAAGCGUUGUUCGGAAUUAUUGGGCGUAAAGCGCGUGUAGGCGGCUUUGCAAGUCGGGUGUGAAAGCCCUCAGCUUAACUGAGGAAGUGCGCCCGAAACUGCAUUGCUUGAGUACCGGAGAGGGUCGCGGAAUUCCCGGUGUAGAGGUGAAAUUCGUAGAUAUCGGGAGGAACACCAGUGGCGAAGGCGGCGACCUGGGCCAAUACUGACGCUGAGGUGCGAAAGCGUGGGGAGCAAACAGG
rnacentral:rRNA from 1 species